CCUCCAUCCUAAUCUAAUGGUUAACCAUUUAAUUAAUCCUGUCACGAAAGAGUGGCAUAUUCCUAUUCUACAAGAAUAAAUGGAUCCGGUGGAUAUUCCAAUUAUCAGAGGUCUUCCUAUCAAUCAUUCUUAUAAGCCGGAUAGGUUGAUAUGGCAUCACACGAAAUCAAGGAGAUAUACGGUUAAAUCAGGUGCUCGAGAGAUGACAGAUACAAUAGAUUGGGGCCCAAAUUGUAAUUUAAUAAAAGCACAAGCUUGGAAGGUCAAAGACCCUCCAAAAAUAAAACACUUCUUAUGGCAAAUUGCUUCGGGUUCCUUAGUAGUUACUUCAAAAUUAUCACAUCGUGGGAUACAGUGUGAUAUAACUUGUAGAAGGUGCGAGAUGGCAGAGGAAACAAUAAAUUAUGUUCUAUUUGAAUGCCCACAUUCUCGGAAAAUUUGGGAAUUAUACGAAAAGCCAAUGGUAUCAGAUAAUUUUCCUCUAAGUUCAGAACUUUUAAAUCUAGAUUAUCUUUAUUGGAAGUUACCACUCCCUUUAGGUGGGGGAGAGAAAACAUAUUGUCACGCUUGGAUUUUGUGGUUCAUAUGGAAAGAUAGGAAUAUAAAAAGUUUUCAAAGGAAUACAAUCUGAACCCGCAGAUAUAUUAAGUCACGCUAUGAGUGAAAAAUUAAUGUGGGAAGAAGCUCAGUUUUGGAACCGAUCGACUCUACCACUAUUACGAGUUCUUUGGACAACCCAACUCAAUCUAUAAAAAGUCAGUUUGAUGGCUCAUGGAAAUCUUCGGAUUGAAAUAUGGGUUUAGGUUGAUGGUGUUUUCAAGGAAAUGAUCAAACAAUUUUGUUUGGUGCUAAAAGUCUUAGGAGGGGCACCUCCCCACUUCAUUCGGAGUUAGAAGCUUUAAUUUGGGCUAUGAAAAGUAUCAUUUCAAGAAGGAUCAAUUGUCAGGCGUUCGAAACCGAUUGUUCAAAGCUAGCUUCCAUGGUACAGUCACCUGAAGAAUGGCCCGCUUUCUCUAAUCUGCUAGACGAUCUUGGAGUGCUUCGCGUCUCUUUCCCCUUUUUCUCUCUUUCUCUUAUCCUCGCUCAUGUAAUGUAAGAGUACACUGCUUGGCACGCUCUUCUAGAAUUUUAUUUUCUGAAAUUACUUUUGUAUACACUAUUCCUCCUAAUUAGGUAACUAAUCAUAGAGAUAUUAGUUUUUAAUUAAUGUGUGGUUGAUUAAAAGAAAAAAAAAAAAAAGUUAAACAAAAACCCUAGCUCCACUAUCUUCCACCAAAUAUAAACCACCCAAAGUCUCCACCGUGCAGGCAAAUCAACAACAAAGACUCAAAGCUUUGAAGAAGA
rnacentral:sRNA from 1 species